rnacentral:rRNA from 1 species
AGUAACGGCGAGUGAAGUGGCAACAGCUCAAAUUUGAAAUCUGGCCCCCUCGAGGCCCGAGUUGUAAUUUGGAGAAGAUGCUUCGGGUGUGGCCCCGGUCUAAGUUCCUUGGAACAGGACGUCACAGAGGGUGAAAAUCCCGUACGUGCCCGGUGGCAGCGCCCGUGUGAAGCUCUUUCGACGAGUCGAGUUGUUUGGGA